CACUCCUAGUGCUUGCUAUACUAAAAUUGAAAUGAAAUAUAGAAGAUUAGCAUGGCUCCUGCACAAAAAUAACAUGCAAAUUCAUGAAGCAGUCCUUAUUAAA
rnacentral:snRNA from 1 species